rnacentral:rRNA from 1 species
UAGAGUUUGAUCCUGGCUCAAGGACGAACGCUGGCGGCGUGCCUAAUACAUGCAAGUAGAACGCUGAAGGAGGAGCUUGCUUCUCCGGAUGAGUUGCGAACGGGUGAGUAACGCGUAGGUAACCUGCCUGGUAGCGGGGGAUAACUAUUGGAAACGAUAGCUAAUACCGCAUAAGAGUAGAUGUUGCAUGACAUUUGCUUAAAAGGUGCAAUUGCAUCACUACCAGAUGGACCUGCGUUGUAUUAGCUAGUUGGUGGGGUAACGGCUCACCAAGGCGACGAUACAUAGCCGACCUGAGAGGGUGAUCGGCCACACUGGGACUGAGACACGGCCCAGACUCCUACGGGAGGCAGCAGUAGGGAAUCUUCGGCAAUGGACGGAAGUCUGACCGAGCAACGCCGCGUGAGUGAAGAAGGUUUUCGGAUCGUAAAGCUCUGUUGUAAGAGAAGAACGAGUGUGAGAGUGGAAAGUUCACACUG